CGAGAAAGCCCGCAAGGGUGAGUACAGCGGCGCACGGGUGCGUAACACGUGAGUAAUCUGCCCUGGAGCCCGGAAUAACCUCCCGAAAGGGAAGCUAAUGCCGGAUGAGCCCACGGGGUCCUUGGACUCUGAGGGAAAAGGCGGCCUCUGUAUACAAGCCGUCACUUCAGGAUGAGCUCGCGGCCCAUCAGCUAGUUGGCGGGGUAAUGGCCCACCAAGGCUACGACGGGUAGCUGGUCUGAGAGGACGAUCAGCCACACUGGAACUGAGACACGGUCC
rnacentral:rRNA from 1 species